UAUCCCAAAGGAGUUAUCCCUAUUGGAAGUAGCAACAUGGGAUUUACUCUUCUUUGUUAUUUGUGUUUUUUCCUUCCUUUUGGAUACACCAUGGAACUUUGAUCCUGUAGAACAUCUAGUCAAAGCGGGCAUAGUGGGAACGCUAUGGAAUAAUACCACAACCAGACUUGGCCUUCAAUAUAUAAUGUUGAAGGCCUCUGUCGAAACCAUUCAUCAAUUCAGGAAGGAAGAUCGGAUGCAUAGGAAUCGGCAGCAGAAAGAAUACUUCUAAAGUUGCAUCUAUGGUCCGUAGAACUUCAAUAGCAGAAGGAGCAAUUCGCUCUUUGUUGGCUCGUGGAUUCCAGACCUAAAGAAAAAAGUCAACAGGUCAUGUGCAUCUAACAGCUAUCUUCUAGAAAAUGAUUAGUAAGUUUUGUGAUUGAAGCUUGGAAAUCAACUGCCACUCUGUAAUACAUAUAAACAAAACAGGGCUAAGUAUUGCAGGUUUGGACAA